rnacentral:misc_RNA from 1 species
GCUUCCUGCCUGACACCUUCAUGUGGUGAACGUGUAAGUUGAACAAGUGCUUCAAGAGCACCAGCCUCUUGUCCAACAGCAGCAUUGUUAGUAUUGCUGUCUCCAUGAGCGGCCAAGUUAGCUAAGGCACGAGCAGCCUGCUCUUGCACUCCCUCAAACUUGCAAUUACGAGCAAGCAUCACUAAAGCAUGCACGCCACCUGCCAGAGCAACCUCCAUGCUACACUUGUCAUCAGCUGCCAAAUUAGCCAAAGCACCAGCUGCACGCUCCAGAACUCCAUCACUGCCGGAGGACCAUUUGAANAACUCCAUCACCGCCAGAGGACCAUUUGAAUAUAAGAUCAACUAAAGCUUUUACUCCACC